AGAAGUUAUAAUACUUCUCGCCGAAUACGAAAGGGUUGUCCGGUAAAGUUAAACUGCCGGACGUUAUAGCGGCCUCUAAGCUACAAGACCAAUGUUUUGUGUGAUGAGUUUUUCACAGAAAGUCUUUUAUUUUUAAUAAUAAUAGACCAGGAAAAUAAUGUGAAUGUUCUAUCGAACACUAACUACCGUACCCUAAACCGACACAGGUUCGUUGGUAGAGAAUACUAAGGCG
rnacentral:ncRNA from 1 species